GCCCACCUCCCGAGUCGCUUUCCAGUCCGGCGCUGCUUUCCCUUCUUCUCGGUUCCCUCGCCGCCAGGCUUCCACGCUCGCCCCCUGCUCUCCAUUCUUCCUCCAAAACCCCGGCCAAAACCCUUCGAAAGUCGAAACCCCGUUCGUCUUCCAUGCCCCCCUCGCACGCCGCGAUGCUCCGCUCGCCUUCCUCCCUCCGCUUGCUUCUCCACCUCUCCCGCCGCCUCCUCUCCAGGAACCCUCUCCUCCCCAGCUCCGCGCUCUCCGCCCGCCCUCGCUUCCUCUCUUCGUCCUCCUCGUCCACCCCCGGCGGCGCAGGAUGGGCCACCUACGACCCGCUCAGCGACAGCCUCAGCGCCUCCGCUGCGCUCUCUUCCGCCUCCAUCUCCGAUUCCGAGCCUCCCGCUGUGUCGGAUGCCUGGGGCGUUUACGACCCCGUCUUGGGCCGCAUCGUCAAGCAGGGGUCCCCACCUCCUUCGUCGUCCAUCACCGUGGAGGAGGACGACGAGGAGGGGGAAGAGGCGGGAAAGCUCGAGGAGGAGAAGGCGGGCGUAAAGGAGAAGGGGAAGAGGCGGGUGACAGCGGUCGGCGUGAAUGACCAUGUCAGGUGGUCGUCGGUGGCGGCGGCGCGGAGGCCCGCUGGUAAGGGCGGCAAGGAGAGGAGCUCGUACGUGUGCAGCAACUGCGGGGAGGGCGAUUCACAGUGGUGGGGCAAAUGCCGCCACUGCAAUGCGAUGGGGACCGUUGACAAGUACGUAGGCGUAGCAGGGCCUGAGAGCGGUGGUGUCGAUGUGGAGUGGUCGCACCACAUCGGACGAUCAUGGAUGCCCCAGAAGGCCAAGGAGGUGGUGCCACAGAGCCUUCAGGAGGUGAACAAGGGGGUCGAUCAGGCACAGUGGCGCAUACCUCUGUGGGGGAGUUUCGGGAUGGAGAUAUCUCGAGUGCUUGGUGGUGGUAUUGUUCCUGGCUCCUUGAUUUUAGUCGGUGGGGAUCCAGGUGUUGGCAAAAGUUCAUUGAUGUUACAGCUUGCUUCGAAUAUAUUGGAGGGUUUCAAGGCCAAGGAGUCUUCUCCUGUUGUAUAUGUGUCUGGUGAGGAGAGUAUUGAGCAAAUUGGAAACAGGGCUGACCGGAUGAGUAUCACGUCCAGCAACUUGUACCUCUACUCUGGUACGGAUAUUGAGGAUAUCUUGGACAAAAUUCAACCCCUCUCUCCAAGGGCUCUUAUUAUCGAUUCGAUUCAAACAGUUUAUGUCAGAUCAUUUGCUGGAAGUGCUGGUAAUUUGUCACAGGUCAAAGAAUGUACCUCUGCCUUGUUACGAUUUGCAAAGCUGACUAAUAUCCCAGUUUUCUUGAUUGGACAUGUUACGAAAACUGGCGAUAUUGCUGGUCCUCGCCUCUUGGAGCACAUAGUGGAUGUUGUUCUGUAUAUGGAGGGAGAGAGGUGCUCAUCCCAUCGAUUGUUGCGGUCAGUGAAGAACCGUUUUGGUUCAGCUGAUGAGCUUGGUGUAUUUGAGAUGGCUGAAUUUGGUCUGCAAGCUGUUCUGAAUCCAAGCCAGAUGUUCUUAACUGAGCAUGACUCUGAUUCUGAAAUUAUGGCUGGUCUUGCUGUAGCUGUUAUUUUAGAUGGAUCUAGGACCUUUGCUCUUGAAGUUCAGGCAUUGUGUGUUUCUGGUUAUCAUCGUUCUGGACAAGUAGUUGGUAUACCACAAAGCAGGGCUGAUGUCAUAAUCUCUGCAUAAAUUCAUGACCUCAAGGAGCAGAAGUACAUACUUUUCUCUAAGACAUGCUCACACCAAGUUGCACAACCAAAAUUUGAUCCCUGGUUGGAGCCAAUGAGCCAUACACCCGUGAGGCACAAUUCAACCGAUUGGCCAAGAGUUUCUUACUUAAACUUUGUUAAAUGGUAUAUACUUUCUUGUGUUCUAGGUCCUCAUCAAGCAAGCAGGCCUAAAACUCCAGGAUAAUAUUGUUUUUUUGAAUGUUGUGAGUGGCUUCAAGUUGACUGAGACUGCAGGAGAUCUGGCUAUAGCAGCUUCAAUUUGCAGCAGUUUCUUGGAAUUUCCUAUCCCAAAUGACGUUGCAUUUAUUGGAGAGGUCGGCCUUGGUGGUGAACUUAGAACUGUGCCAAGAAUGGACAAGCGAGUGAUUGCUAUUUCAAAGCUGGGAUACAAGAAGUGCGUCGUUCCCAAAACCUCCGAGAAGUUGCUCAGACCACUUGAUAUUGACAUUGAGAUCUUGCCCUGCAGCAACCUGAAGCAGCUUAUAAAUACCGUGUUUAGGCCCCAAGGUUGAUGUAGGCGUACAAGAUGCCUGGUUUAGGAAAUCUGACAGUAGGCAGUUAUUUAGAUUAGAGUAUUGUUGUAGGUCAAGGACUUGGCUAGUUUGGGUUGGUGUAGCAUAGUGUGGUCGGUGCCAGUUAGAAAGUGCAUGGGGUUCAUUGCUGGGCUUCCGUUCCGUUGAAUUGGUGUAGCAUAGUCCGGUAGUGCCAGUUAGAAAGUGGAUUGCUGGUGUUACUCUGAAACACAGUAGGGCACACUUCUUUUGGUUGCUUUAUGUGAUGAAAUACCGGACAUAUUCUUUGCUACUUCAGCACCGUGAACUUAUUGGCUUUUUGAGUUGACUUUUGUUUUAAA